rnacentral:rRNA from 1 species
AGAGUUUGAUCCUGGCUCAGGACGAACGCUGGCGGCGUGCCUAAUACAUGCAAGUAGAACGCUGAAGAGAGGAGCUUGCUCUUCUUGGAUGAGUUGCGAACGGGUGAGUAACGCGUAGGUAACCUGCCUUGUAGCGGGGGAUAACUAUUGGAAACGAUAGCUAAUACCGCAUAACAAUGGAUGACCCAUGUCAUUUAUUUGAAAGGGGCAAAUGCUCCACUACAAGAUGGACCUGCGUUGUAUUAGCUAGUAGGUGAGGUAACGGCUCACCUAGGCGACGAUACAUAGCCGACCUGAGAGGGUGAUCGGCCACACUGGGACUGAGACACGGCCCAGACUCCUACGGGAGGCAGCAGUAGGGAAUCUUCGGCAAUGGGGGCAACCCUGACCGAGCAACGCCGCGUGAGUGAAGAAGGUUUUCGGAUCGUAAAGCUCUGUUGUAAGUCAAGAACGAGUGUGAGAGUGGAAAGUUCACACUGUGACGGUAGCUUACCAGAAAGGGACGGCUAACUACGUGCCAGCAGCCGCGGUAAUACGUAGGUCCCGAGCGUUGUCCGGAUUUAUUGGGCGUAAAGCGAGCGCAGGCGGUUUGAUAAGUCUGAAGUUAAAGGCUGUGGCUCAACCAUAGUUCGCUUUGGAAACUGUCAAACUUGAGUGCAGAAGGGGAGAGUGGAAUUCCAUGUGUAGCGGUGAAAUGCGUAGAUAUAUGGAGGAACACCGGUGGCGAAAGCGGCUCUCUGGUCUGUAACUGACGCUGAGGCUCGAAAGCGUGGGGAGCGAACAGGAUUAGAUACCCUGGUAGUCCACGCCGUAAACGAUGAGUGCUAGGUGUUGGAUCCUUUCCGGGAUUCAGUGCCGCAGCUAACGCAUUAAGCACUCCGCCUGGGGAGUACGACCGCAAGGUUGAAACUCAAAGGAAUUGACGGGGGCCCGCAC